rnacentral:rRNA from 1 species
AGUGAACGCUGGCGGUAGGCCUAACACAUGCAAGUCGAACGGCAGCACAGUAAGAGCUUGCUCUUACGGGUGGCGAGUGGCGGACGGGUGAGGAAUACAUCGGAAUCUACUUUUUCGUGGGGGAUAACGCAGGGAAACUUACGCUAAUACCGCAUACGACCUACGGGUGAAAGCAGGGGAUCUUCGGACCUUGCGCGAUUGAAUAAGCCGAUGUCGGAUUAGCUAGUUGGCGGGGUAAAGGCCCACCAAGGCGACGAUCCGUAGCUGGUCUGAGAGGAUGAUCAGCCACACUGGAACUGAGACACGGUCCAGACUCCUACGGGAGGCGGCAGUGGGGAAUAUUGGACAAUGGGCGCAAGCCUGAUCCAGCCAUACCGCGUGGGUGAAGAAGGCCUUCGGGUUGUAAAGCCCUUCUGUUGGGAAAGAAAAGCAGCAGGUUAAUACCCCGCUGUUCUGACGGUACCAAAAGAAUAAGCACCGGCUAACUUCGUG